GUAGUAUUUAUUAGAUUGAAACCAACCGCUUCGGCGUGAUGUGGUGAUUCAUAAUAAGCUAGCGGAUCGCAUGGCUUUGCCGGCGAUGGAUCAUUCAAGUUUCUGCCCUAUCAGCUUUGGAUUGGUGGGUAUUGGCCACCAAUGGCUUUAACGGGUAACGGGAAAUUGGGGUUUGAUUCCGGAGAGGGGGCCUGAGAGACGGCCACCACAUCCAAGGAAGGCAGCAGGCGCGUAAAUUACCCAAUCAUGACACAUGGAGGUAGUGACAAUAAAUAACAAUGCCGGGCCUUUGUAGGUCUGGCAAUUGGAAUGAGAACAAUUUAAAGUUCUUAUCGAGGAUCAAUUGGAGGGCAAGUCUGGUGCCAGCAGCCGCGGUAAUUCCAGCUCCAAUAGCGUAUAUUAAAGUUGUUGCAGUUAAAAAGCUCGUAGUUGGAUUUAUGGCGGUUCCCGGGGUCCAAUUUUUGGUACAUUCGGGGACUGCCAUCCUUGGGUGGAACCUGUGUGGAAUUAAGUUUUCGUGCAGGGGAUGCCCAUCGUUUACUGUGAAAAAAUCAGAGUGCUUCAAGCAGGCUUAUG
rnacentral:rRNA from 1 species